ACAACAUUCGGACCGUCGGUUUACCGAGCAUAUAUACACCCGCUCGGUGGAAGAUCUUUCCUCCGUCGU
rnacentral:pre_miRNA from 1 species